rfam:Tatumella morbirosei strain LMG 23360 Contig3, whole genome shotgun sequence.
ACAGAUUCUCCGUGGAGAAGGACGAGAACCUUCGACAAGGUUCGAGCCGAACAACGUGAAGCAACGUGCUUCAGCACGGCCCGCAGGGCGAGCCGUUUACGGCGAGUCAUCCUUCUCCCACCACCA